AAGAGGGUAGCUUAGUGGUCAAAGGCAGCAGGCUGUAAACUUGCUGAUUAAUUUCUUCGUAGGUUCGAAUCCUAUCCCUUUUA
rnacentral:tRNA from 1 species